rnacentral:rRNA from 1 species
GACGAACGCUGGCGGCGUGCUUAACACAUGCAAGUCGAACGGAAAGGCCCUGCUUUUGUGGGGUGCUCGAGUGGCGAACGGGUGAGUAACACGUGAGUAACCUGCCCUUGACUUUGGGAUAACUUCAGGAAGCUGGGGCUAAUACCGGAUAGGAGCUCCUGCUGCAUGGUGGGGGUUGGAAAGUUUCGGCGGUUGGGGAUGGACUCGCGGCUUAUCAGCUUGUUGGUGGGGUAGUGGCUUACCAAGGCUUUGACGGGUAGCCGGCCUGAGAGGGUGACCGGCCACAUUGGGACUGAGAGACGGCCCAGACUCCUACGGGAGGCAGCAGUGGGGAAUAUUGCACAAUGGGCGGAAGCCUGAUGCAGCAACGCCGCGUGCGGGAUGACGGCCUUCGGGUUGUAAACCGCUUUCGCCUGUGACGAAGCGUGAGUGACGGUAAUGGGUAAAGAAGCACCGGCGAACUACGU